GUGUCAGCAGCCGCGGUAAAACCAGCACNUCAAGUGGUCAGGAUGAUUAUUGGGCCUAAAGCAUCCGUAGCCGGCUUUGUUAGUUUUCGGUUAAAUCUAUAUGCUCAACAUAUAGGCUGCCGGGAAUACUGCAAAGCUAGGGAGUGGGAGAGGUAGACGGUACUCCGUAGGAAGGGGUAAAAUCCUUUGAUCUAUGGAUGACCACCUGUGGCGAAGGCGGUCUACCAGAACACGUCCGACGGUGAGGGAUGAAAGCUGGGGGAGCAAACCGGAUUAGAUACCCGGGUAGUCCCAGCUGUAAACUAUGCAAACUCAGUGAUGCAUUGGCUUGUGGCCAGUGCAGUGCCGCAGGGAAGCCGUUAAGUUUGCCGCCUGGGAAGUACGUACGCAAGUAUGAAACUUAAAGGAAUUGGCGGGGGAGCACCACAAGGGGUGAAGCCUGCGGUUCAAUUGGAGUCAACGCCAGAAAUCUUACCCGGAGAGACAGCAGGAUGAAGGUCAAGCUGAAGACUUUACCAGACAAGCUGAGAAGUGGUGCAUGGCCGUCGCCAGCUCGUGCCGUGAGAUGUCCUGUUAAGUCAGGUAACGAGCGAGAUCCUUGCCUCUAGUUGCCACCAUUACUCUCAGGAGUAGUGGGGCGAAUUAGCGGGACUGCCGUAGUUAAUACGGAGGAAGGAGAGGGCCACGGCAGGUCAGUAUGCCCUGAAACUCUGGGGCCACACGCGGGCUGCAAUGGUAGUGACAAUGUGUUCCGAAUCCGAAAGGAGGAGGUAAUCCAAAAACGCUACCACAGUUAUGACUGAGGGCUGCAACUCGCCCUCACGAAUAUGGAAUCCCUAGUAACUGCGUGUCAUUAUCGCGCGGUGAAUACGUCCCUGCUCCUUGCACACACCGCCCGUC
rnacentral:rRNA from 1 species